UACGGAGGGUGCAAGCGUUAUCCGGAUUCACUGGGUUUAAAGGGUGCGUAGGUGGGCAGGUAAGUCAGUGGUGAAAUCUCCGGGCUUAACUCGGAAACUGCCAUUGAUACUAUCUUUCUUGAAUACCGUGGAGGUCAGCGGAAUAUGUCAUGUAGCGGUGAAAUGCUUAGAUAUGACAUAGAACACCAAUUGCGAAGGCAGCUGGCUACACGAAUAUUGACACUGAUGCACGAAAGCUAGGGGAGCAAACAGG
rnacentral:rRNA from 1 species